rnacentral:rRNA from 1 species
CCUACGGGAGGCAGCAGUGGGGGAUAUUGCACAAUGGGGGAAACCCUGAUGCAGCAACGCCGCGUGAGGUAUGAAGGCCUUUGGGUUGUAAGCCUCUGUCCUAGGGGAAGAAAAAAAUGACGGUACCCGAGGAGGAAGCCCCGGCUAACUACGUGCCAGCAGCCGCGGUAAUACGUAGGGGGCAAGCGUUAUCCGGAAUUAUUGGGCGUAAAGAGUGCGUAGGUGGUCUACUAAGCGCGAGGUGAAAGGCAAUGGCUCAACCAUUGUUAGCCUUGCGAACUGGCAGACUUGAGUGCAAGAGAGGAAAGCGGAAUUCCUAGUGUAGCGGUGAAAUGCGCAGAUAUUAGGAGGAACACCGGCGGCGAAGGCGGCUUUCUGGAUUGUAACUGACACUGAGGCACGAAAGCGUGGGUAGCAAACAGGAUUAGAUACCCCAGUA